UCCGUUAUGGUGUAGUGGCUAACAUUAUCGCCUCUCACUAGUCAAUUCGGUGUAUUACUUGUCAGAGCGCGAUAGCGCAGGGUUCGAUUCCCUGUAACGGAA